UUGACCACUAAACAUAAGAGGUCCUGCCUGCCCAGUGACGUUUGUUCAACGGCCGCGGUAUUUUGACCGUGCUAAGGUAGCGCAAUCACUUGUCUUUUAAAUGAAGACCCGUAUGAAUGGCAAGACGAGGGCUUAACUGUCUCCUCUAUCCAGUCAAUGAAAUUGAUCUUCCCGUGCAGAAGCGGGAAUAAUACCAUAAGACGAGAAGACCCUAUGGAGCUUCAGACGAUAAAGCAGCCCGUCCUAGGAACACUUACAUAAAAGUAUGCACUAAACGGCCCCUGUUUAGAUGUCUUCGGUUGGGGCGACCGCGGGGAAACACAAAACCCCCAUGUGGAAUGAGAGCACAACCCCACUGCCCUGCUCUUACAAACAAGAGGGACACCUCUAAUUAUCAGAAUUUCUGACCUUAAAUGAUCCGGAUUAACCGAUCAACGAACCAAGUUACCCUAGGGAUAACAGCGCAAUCCUCUUUUAGAGCCCAUAUCGACAAGGGGGUUUACGACCUCGAUGUUGGAU
rnacentral:rRNA from 1 species